GGGGAUGUGGCUCAGUGGUAUGGUGCUUACUUUGCAUGUACAAGGCACUGGGUUCAAUUCCCAGUACUGCCA
rnacentral:tRNA from 1 species